CUGUAGUGUUAAACCAUGCAAUCAUAUUUAGGGAAAUCUCAAAAUAUGAUUAGACAUGACACAAAUAUGCUUGUAAGCAAAACUGUAGACUGUGCAGAAAUGCAUAUGUAAACAUAGACAGUGAUGACAAAAGUCGAUAUGGCCUAGUGUGGGCCAAAUACAGUAAGCAGAAUGAGGCAUCGCUGCCAAAUACAGUAAGCAGAUUGAG